rnacentral:rRNA from 1 species
GACGAACGCUGGCGGCGUGCUUAACACAUGCAAGUCGAACGCUGAAGCUUGGUGCUUGCACUGGGUGGAUGAGUGGCGAACGGGUGAGUAAUACGUGAGUAACCUGCCCUUGACUCUGGGAUAAGCCUGGGAAACUGGGUCUAAUACUGGAUACGACAUGCCACUGCAUGGUGCUGUGUGGAAAGGGUUUUACUGGUUUUGGAUGGGCUCACGGCCUAUCAGCUUGUUGGUUGGGUAAUGGCCUACCAAGGCGACGCCGGGUAGCCGGCCUGAGAGGGUGACCGGCCACACUGGUACUGAGACACGGCCCAGACUCGUACGGGAGGCAGCAGUGGGGAAUAUUGCACAAUGGGCGGAAGCCUGAUGCAGCGACGCCGCGUGAGGGAUGACGGCCUUCGGGUUGUAAACCUCUUUCAGCACGGAAGAAGCGAGAGUGACGGUACGUGCAGAAGAAGCGCCGGCUAACUACGUG